rnacentral:rRNA from 1 species
AUGGGGGCAGCCUGAUCAGCAAUGCCGCGUGGGUGAAGAAGGCCUGCGGGUUGUAAAGCCCUUUCGGUUGGGAAGAACGUGCUUGAGGCUAAUACCCUUGAGCGGUGACGGUACCGACAGAAGAAGCACCGGCUAACUCCGUGCCAGCAGCCGCGGUAUUACGGAGGGUGCGAGCGUUAAUCGGAAUUACUGGGCGUAAAGCGCGCGUAGGCGGUAAUGUAAGUCGGAU